rnacentral:rRNA from 1 species
UACGGAGGGUGCAAGCGUUAUCCGGAUUCACUGGGUUUAAAGGGUGCGUAGGUGGGUUUGCAAGUCAGUGGUGAAAUCUCCAAGCUUAACUUGGAAACUGCCGUUGAUACUAUAAAUCUUGAAUGUUGUGGAGGUGAGCGGAAUAUGUCAUGUAGCGGUGAAAUGCUUAGAUAUGACAUAGAACACCAAUUGCGAAGGCAGCUCACUACACAAAGAUUGACACUGAGGCACGAAAGCGUGGGGAUCAAACAGG